rnacentral:rRNA from 1 species
CCUGGUGACAAAGGCGAAGGGGAUCCACCUGUUCCCAUCUCGAACACAGAAGUUAAGCCCUUCAGCGGUGAUGGUACUGCUACAUCUCGUAGUGGGAGAGUAACUCGUUGCCAGGA